UAUAUCUAAAACAAAGAAUCUGCCACCUCAUGAACAAUCAAACUGAAAUCAUCUGUGGAGUUCCAGAGGUUUUAGCUUGGAGCGUUGAAGGUUGAGACAGCUAAAAAAGUGAGGAAACAUUAGAAAUGGAGGAGCAAUGAGGUGGUGGGACUCUUGUAUAGGCAAUUAUUUUCAAGUGCUAAAAUUUAGGAUUUUGUUGUUGUUGGGAGUAGUUGGAUCUUUGAAGGUUGAGACAGAUCUAUAAGUUCAUUAUAUGCAAGUAAUACAAGAAAAUUGUGCUACGGUGU